rnacentral:rRNA from 1 species
GUGAAAGGCCAAUCAAACCGGGAGAUAGCUGGUUCUCCCCGAAAGCUAUUUAGGUAGCGCCUCGUGAAUUCAUCUCCGGGGGUAGAGCACUGUUUCGGCAAGGGGGUCAUCCCGACUUACCAACCCGAUGCAAACUGCGAAUACCGGAGAAUGUUAUCACGGGAGACACACGGCGGGUGCUAACGUCCGUCGUGAAGAGGGAAACAACCCAGACCGCCAGCUAAGGUCCCAAAGUCAUGGUUAAGUGGGAAACGAUGUGGGAAGGCCCAGACAGCCAGGAUGUUGGCUUAGAAGCAGCCAUCAUUUAAAGAAAGCGUAAUAGCUCACUGGUCGAGUCGGCCUGCGCGGAAGAUGUAACGGGGCUAAACCAUGCACCGAAGCUGCGGCAGCGACGCUUAUGCGUUGUUGGGUA